rnacentral:misc_RNA from 1 species
AAAAACUGGUUUCUGCUCCUUUUGGCAGUCAUUGUGUAUGCCAUUACUUCCUAUACACGUUAUUGGGUCUGCAUCGCUGGUUGCAUACAGGACUAGAAAUUAUGAUGCGCCUGUUAAAACAACUUUAUUGUCUGAAGGGACAAUUGAAUUACUACCUGCAAAAUGCUACAGUAAUAAUGUGUAUAAGAACAAUGCUAGGCUCCAUCAUUCCUUGAGUUUGAAGAUCAACAUGCUAGGAAAAUCAUUGAGGAGCUUUCUUGGUAACAUAAUGAGACAAAAUUGGGUUUCAGGCUCUCUUAGAGCUAAUGCUAAAGCAUCAACUAUCAUU